rnacentral:tRNA from 1 species
GGGCGCGUAGCUCAGUGGGAGAGCGCUUGAUUCACAUUCAAGAGGUCGCAGGUUCGAAACCUGCCGCGCCCACCA